rnacentral:rRNA from 1 species
UGGGGAAUUUUGGACAAUGGGCGCAAGCCUGAUCCAGCAAUGCCGCGUGCAGGAUGAAGGCCUUCGGGUUGUAAACUGCUUUUUGUACGGAACGAAACGGUGAACUCUAAUAAAGUUUGCUAAUGACGGUACCGUAAGAAUAAGCACCGGCUAACUACGUGCCAGCAGCCGCGGUAAUACGUAGGGUGCGAGCGUUAAUCGGAAUUACUGGGCGUAAAGCGUGCGCAGGCGGUUAUAUAAGACAGAUGUGAAAUCCUCGGGCUCAACCUGGGACCUGCAUUUGUGACUGUAUGGCUGGAGUACGGUAGAGGGGGAUGGAAUUCCGCGUGUAGCAGUGAAAUGCGUAGAUAUGCGGAGGAACACCGAUGGCGAAGGCAAUCCCCUGGACCUGUACUGACGCUCAUGCACGAAAGCGUGGGGAGCAAACAGGAUUAGAUACCCCAGUAGUCCCUGAGCGGGCUGGCAAGGCGCAU